GUCCCAGUGGAGAGAAGUAAAUGAGAGAGGCAGAGGGGUGAAGAGAAGAAAGGAGUAAAGGAAGAAUCACAUCGGGUGACUGAUCCUCCAAGGGGCGAGCUGGAGAAAUGGUGGGCCCAAGGUUUCUGUUUCCAUCUCCUCUUCCCCGAGUGCUGUGAAGCAGGCAGGGAGCUGGGAAGGAUCCUGUGGCUGACAAGAGCUGUUAUUUAACAUGAACUGACUCGUGAGAACCGAACUUCUUUGGGGACCAUCUGAGUGAUAUCCACCCCACGCAGACUAUGUGUAAAUGCAACCUUUGCCCCAUGGAACUGCCCGGGUUGGGCACCCUUGGUUCACAACAAUUUUGUUCCCGGUCCCUCUGUGAGGAAUAGGGCACAGCAGGACUGCAACCUGCAUAGCAAUCAGAGAGCACCAGAGGAAACUGCAGAAAGACAUUUCUUCUCUCUCUCCCAG
ensembl:lncRNA